ACAGCAUCUUGUGUUUCGGGCAAGGGAAGUCGGGUGGAAAUCCCGCGCGGUCCCGCCGCUGUAAAAGCCGAGCAAUGCACGAUAUGCCACUGGAGGAAGCUCCGGGAAGGCGUGCGGCGCGCCUGAGGCUUGAGCCAGAAUAUCUGCCCGAAGCGUCAGCGCCAC
rnacentral:ncRNA from 1 species